CCAGGAUAUUACCAGGAGAGCCCACUUACAAAAUUAAACCUAAGAAUUCUUAUAUACCUACUUAGAUAAGACCCUCUUUUCUAGGCAUAAAAACUUCUGGCAAAUCUGUACUCUGAAUUCCCUAACCUAUAUCUGGAUCAUGUUGAUUCUACCCUCUGACCCUGCACUUAGCAACAAUGUUUCAUUGACUAUCUCCCUAGGCUUCUUGUCUGUUGUUAGGUUCCAUGGAAACAUGUAUGUUGAGAAUGAAACUGUGUAUGAGGGUAUAAAAUAAAGCCAGGCCUCAGCCAAGGAGGAGUAGUUUAUCCUGUGAAACCUGUGCUACAGGUUGAAUGUGAAAGCUCUGUCCCCUCCAUCAUUCUGCCGACACCAUCCCACCUCCGAGACCCUAUCCCCUGUGGGAGGCUGGUCAACCCCCCCCCCAGCAACUGGUGCCUGGGACCAGGGACUCUUGGCUAGUAUAACAGACAUGCACAUGUAUAAACUAUAUCAUAUUGCCUGCCAUCUCAGGAAGGGGGAAGACGAGGAAGUGAGAGUGAGAACAUGGAUCAAAAAUGUUAUAAAAUACUAUCAAAAUUCUAUCUACAAGUAAUCUGGUAGAAAGAUGAGGAAACUGAGACAAACAGGAUUGGGUGACUUGUCCAAGGUCACACAGCCAGUAAAAGUCUAAACCAGAUUUUAAUUUAGGAAGAUGGGUCUUCUUGACUUCAGUCCCAAUACUACUAUGUCACCUAAACAUGACUCAGUGGCUAUUAAAGUACUUUCUAACU